rnacentral:rRNA from 1 species
AACUCGCCUACAUGAAGUCGGAAUCGCUAGUAAUCGCGGAUCAGCAUGCCGCGGUGAAUACGUUCCCGGGCCUUGUACACAUCGCCCGUCACACCAUGAGAGUUUGUAACACCCAAAGCCGGUGGGGUAACCUUUUGGAGCCAGCCGUCUAAGGUGGGACAGAUGAUUGGGGUGAAGUCGUAACAAGGUACC